UGCCUCCAGUUUGCCAGACUCAACAGCAGAACAUGUGGAAGUCACACAGUCACACUAAAGCUUUGGAACAUCAACAUGAAGGGAAGCCAAGUCACCAUUUGCCGUGAGUCCCUGUGCCGUCAUGCGUCUCCUGUUCCUGGUGGUGUCUCUUCUCUGUCUCAUCUCCUGGUCUCCCAUAUUGGUUGAGUCAAGACCUGAUAGUGCAGAUGAAGCUUGUGCCCAAAGUGGUGGAGUCUGUCGCCCCAACUGCCCAAUGAUGGUGCCGUCAGGAAAGUGCAAUUUUGUGCCUUGCUGCAAGUAUCUCAGAGGCUGAUGCACCAAUAUCUGCAAUGUAUCAACUUGUGUGAUUUGGGUGAAUCUGAACAGAAAAGAAUAAAGGAAACAUGAAAUAAAAAA